UUAUUCUUUUAGUUUUUUCUUUAGUACUUUACAAACAUAUAUUUUAUUUCAGUUAAUGUUUAUUUUGGGAUAAUGUUUAUUUUAUUUUUGUAUGGUUUUGGGUUUUAGUUAACAGUAAUAGCCGUGUCCUGUAAAGGGUGAACUUGAGCACAUAUCUGAGCGUGGAUCACAUGAAUGUGUUGGUUGUGUAACUCGUGAAAGGCGUCCAUUCUCACGAGCGCCUGGUGCUGUGACUUACUGCUGGGAACUCCACUGCCUUCAUCAGGGUCUCUGGCGUCUGGCAACAGGAACUGGGUGGUUUGGAUGUCGAGGAAACAUUAACAGACCUUUCAAGGACGAUUUUUUUUUAACGCAACUCAAGAGACACUCCCACUGAGGAUGUCGUGUGGCUCGUGUUUCUGGGCCGUCAUAUGGCUGCUGGUGCUGCUGAUUCUGGGCUGGCCCUUGAGCAUUAUGCUGGGGGGUCUCUACGGCCUCAUCGCCCCGCUCACCGUCUGUGUCGGCCUGGACCGGCUGGCCGACCUGCUGAUGGAGGGGGCCAACCUGGGCCGAAAGUGUGCUCAGAACAUGAGGCACGGCAAACCGCUGUGCUGAGACCACGAGCCCGACGAGUCCAGAAGAUUCCUCACUUUCACAUCUUUCCAUUUAAGCUGUAUUAGUCAACGUGAACUGUUUUUGACGUCAUUUACUGUACGGUCGGUUCUCUGUUUGACUAUAACCUGACGCAUCCUUAAAGCCUUAGUGACACUCUCCUGCUUCCUCUCUGUAUCUUUUGCUCCCAGGCUGUUUGAAUAUGAAAAAUUAAAUGAUUCUGAUAAAA